AAAGAACCCUAAGCUUGCAAUCAGAAGGACCCAGUUCAAGUCCUAGUGUUUUCCUCUUGCCAGCUAUGUAAAAUUGGACUAUGCCUUAUCCUUUCUGAGUUUCAUUUUCCUUGUUAUUAAAAUAGAGGUGAUACUUCAACUUCCUACUUAAAUAGAAUCUCAGGAUCAAAGGAGAAAAUCAUUGUUGAGUCACAUCAGCAGAUCCUGGGAAAAGGUCAUUGCAUGGUUUUGGACAUGGCAGCAUGAAGACACUUUUGGAAAUGUCAAGAAAUAUUUGACAUUGGAUUCUGUACUAUACUACAUUAGGAUGAACAUAAAACACCACUUUUUACCAAUGGCACUUCAUAUAAGAGGAGAGCCAAGUAUGCAGGAAAGCACAGGGAAGAAUCAGAGGCUCAAAGGGCAAGUAAAAAUAAGGUGAGUAAUUAAGUUUAAGUAGAUAAUUGGAUUUCUGCUUUUGAAAGUGGCUUCUGUUUGCCCCUGUUUGUGUUCAGGCAUGUGAAGAAUUUACUAAUUGUAAACUAACAGAGGAUAAAGAGAUAGCCUCCUAUCAAGAGGAAGGGCACAGACCAUCAAAAAUAUAUU
rnacentral:lncRNA from 1 species